CUGUGUGAUGCUGUUUGCUUCAGAGGAGUACCUGAAGAAGCGGUCUCUGGGGAAGCCAGGUUGUUCCAGACUGCUGCCACAUUUCCUGCUCUCAGCUAACCCCUGCUCUGCCAGCGUGGGAUGGCUUUUGUAGCAUAUUGCUAAUGUGCCAAGAAGCAUAUGUAUCUUUUUGUGAAUAUGGAAGUUAUUUUCCAAAUUUUACAGCUUCUGACCCAGAAACAGAAAUAUUCAUCACUGCAACAUAAUUUCAAACCUGCCAAGAAUAUAUCAUGUAGAUGUGCUAAGGGAGCGGAUGAAAGCAGGAGUACAGAAAUUCCUUUAGCACUAACUAGAGAGAGUGAUGAAGUACAUCUUUGUAUAGUGCUUUUUCAUCUACCAAGAUGAGACACUCGGAUGAAGUCAUAGGCUUCUGAAAGUAUCAGUGGUGUUGGCAGUCCGGUGCAGCUGGGAUUUCAGGGAAAGAGGAGAAGGUACAGGGAGAGCAGCAGAACCCCUUAUAGCUUCAACCUGCCACAGAAAGGAGAGCAUGGUAAGUGGUAAAAGAAUGAAACAGUGCAGGGCAGAAGAGAAGAGGCUGUGAAGAUAGUAAAGAGAGAGGAAAACAAAGCCUGGAGAAUUGGAGCAUGUACAUGUGCAGAGAAAGGAAAAGAGAUAAAAUUGUGGAAGAGAACUUGUAGA